UACGAAGGGGGCUAGCGUUGCUCGGAAUUACUGGGCGUAAAGGGAGCGUAGGCGGAUAGUUUAGUCAGAGGUGGAAGCCCAGGGCUCAACCUUGGAAUUGCCUUUGAUACUGGCUGUUUUGAGUUCGGGAGAGGUGAGUGGAAUGCCGAGUGUAGAGGUGAAAUUCGUAGAUAUUCGCAAGAACACCAGUGGCGAAGGCGGCUCACUGGCCCGAUACUGACGCUGAGGCACGAAAGCGUGGGGAGCAAACAGG
rnacentral:rRNA from 1 species